UGGGGAAUAUUGCGCAAUGGGCGGAAGCCUGACGCAGCGACGCCGCGUGGGGGAUGACGGCCUUCGGGUUGUAAACCUCUUUCGACUUCGACGAAGCCUUCGGGUGACGGUAGGGGUGGAAGAAGCACCGGCCAACUACGUGCCAGCAGCCGCGGUAAUACGUAGGGUGCGAGCGUUGUCCGGAAUUAUUGGGCGUAAAGAGCUCGUAGGCGGUGUGUCACGUCGGCCGUGAAAACCUGCAGCUUAACUGUGGGCGUGCGGUCGAUACGGGCAUCACUGGAGUUCGGCAGGGGAGACUGGAAUUCCUGGUGUAGCGGUGAAAUGCGCAGAUAUCAGGAGGAACACCGGUGGCGAAGGCGGGUCUCUGGGCCGAUACUGACGCUGAGGAGCGAAAGCGUGGGGAGCGAACA
rnacentral:rRNA from 1 species